rnacentral:ncRNA from 1 species
UUGUAAAGGUAUAUUUAGCCGUAAGGGCUUGUACUUCAAAAGAAGGUAUACCGAGGAA